AACGAACGCUGGCGGCAUGCCUAACACAUGCAAGUCGAACGAGACCUUCGGGUCUAGUGGCGCACGGGUGCGUAACGCGUGGGAACCUGCCCUUAGGUUCGGAAUAACUCCCCGAAAGGGGUGCUAAUACCGGAUAAUGUCUUCGGACCAAAGAUUUAUCGCCUUUGGAUGGGCCCGCGUUGGAUUAGCUAGUUGGUAGGGUAAAAGCCUACCAAGGCGACGAUCCAUAGCUGGUGUGAGAGGAUGAUCAGCCACACUGGGACUGAGACACGGCCCAGACUCCUACGGGAGGAAGCAGUGGGGAAUAUUGGACAAUGGGCGAAAGCCUGAACCAGCAAUGCCGCGUGAGUGAUGAAGGCCUUAGGGUUGUAAAGCUCUUUUAACCGGGAUGAUAAAGACAGUACCGGGAGAAUAAGCUCCGGCUAACUCCGUG
rnacentral:rRNA from 1 species